UACAGAGGUCUCAAGCGUUGUUCGGAUUCAUUGGGCGUAAAGGGUGCGUAGGCGGCGCGGUAAGUCGGGUGUGAAAUUUCGAGGCUUAACUUCGAAACUGCAUUCGAUACUGCCGUGCUUGAGGACUGGAGAGGAGACUGGAAUUUACGGUGUAGCGGUGAAAUGCGUAGAUAUCGUAAGGAAGACCAGUGGCGAAGGCGGGUCUCUGGACAGUUCCUGACGCUGAGGAGCGAAAGCGUGGGGAGCAAACAGG
rnacentral:rRNA from 1 species